GAGCCCGGAGCCCGCUGCGGUGCAGGCGCGUGGAGGGCGGGCGGCCCGGCUGUUAGCACUGGGUGGUUUCGGCCACCGUGGUGCGGAUCUGUGCGACCUUUGCUUUUUAAGGAAGGGGAGAGGUGGAGAUGAGUUCUUCAUUUCGCGUGUGUGUUAGUCGGGAGAGUGGCACUCGCUGCCCUCGCGGAUGAAGCUCUGAAGGAAAGCAUACUAUUUCAGACUGUUCCAGGAAGGAAGAAAACUACAGCUCUGUGUCAGUCAGGCUCCUCCCGUCAGUCUCUGCUUCCUGUCUGCAUGCCAGGAGCAGAUUUCCUCAGGCAUGCCCCCUGCCAUGCUGACCUGCCCUGGAGUCAGCUGACUGUGGACUGAAGAAUUAGCCAAGAUAAACUUCUCCUUCCUUAAGUUGUGGGUGUUGGGUAUUUCGUCCU